rnacentral:rRNA from 1 species
UAAGACGUAGGAUCCGAGCGUUGUCCGGAGUUACUGGGCGUAAAGCGCGCGCAGGCGGAUACGCGCAUCGGCGGUGAAAGCCCCCCGCUCAACGGGGGAGGGUCCGUCGAGAUGGCGUGUCUGGAGGCAGGGAGAGGCCAGUGGAAUUCCGGGUGUAGUGGUGAAAUGCGUAGAGAUCCGGAGGAACACCAGUGGCGAAGGCGGCUGGCUGGACCUGACCUGACGCUGAGGCGCGAAGGCGUGGGGAGCGAACGGGAUUAGAUACCCUGGUAGUCCACGCCGUAAACGAUGGAUGCUAGCCGUUGGCGGGUUUACCCGUCAGUGGCGCAGCUAACGCUUUAAGCAUCCCGCCUGGGGAGUACGGUCGCAAGAUUA